CAUCUGUCUCUUUUGCUUGCUUGCAGCUUUGGGUAAAGAUGAAGGUGCAGUGAAGAAGGAGGAAGCUCAUAAGGAUGAGUUUAAUUGGCCAUGGAGCAAGGACAAGGAUAAGGACGGUAAGGACAAGUCCGGCAGUAAGGACAAGUCUCACAGUCACGAGAAGUCUGACAAGAAGGACAAGUCUGACAGUAAGCAUAAGUCUGGCAGUAAGAACAAGUCAGAUGAGCACAAAGAGCAUAAGAAGAAGAAGGACAAGAAGAAUAAGGAAAAGAAGGAUGGACAUAAAUCAAGCAGCUCAUCCUCAUCUUCAUCCUCCAGCAGUGAUGAGAACUGAUGCUUCCUUGGGGGACCAGCCUGCUCUGUUAGUCUCUUAUGAUCUUGUGUAUUGACAUAUUGAGUGUGUGUUGUUGAGUGUGCAGUAGUACCAAUCUUCUUUCUCGUCCUUGCACUUACGUCACUGUAACAUGUUGGUCUUGUUUAAAUAAAUCUGCUACUUCCUAGAAGUAAAUGUUACUGAAAACAAGCAAAA